rnacentral:rRNA from 1 species
CGGGGGCUAAAAAUUGGAAGGGGGGAGCGGGAUCGAUGGGGAGCUUGCUCCCUGAGAUCAGCGGCGGACGCCCUGAGUAACACGUGGGUAACCUGCCUGUAAGACUGGGAUAACUCCGGGAAACCGGGGCUAAUACCGGAUAAUUUAGUUCCUCGCAUGAGGAACUGUUGAAAGGUGGCUUCGGCUACCACUUACAGAUGGACCCGCGGCGCAUUAGCUAGUUGGUGAGGUAACGGCUCACCAAGGCAACGAUGCGUAGCCGACCUGAGAGGGUGAUCGGCCACACUGGGACUGAGACACGGCCCAGACUCCUACGGGAGGCAGCAGUAGGGAAUCUUCCGCAAUGGACGAAAGUCUGACGGAGCAACGCCGCGUGAGUGAAGAAGGUUUUCGGAUCGUAAAACUCUGUUGUUAGGGAAGAACAAGUGCCGUUCGAAUAGGGCGGCACCUUGACGGUACCUAACCAGAAAGCCACGGCUAACUACGUGCCAGCAGCCGCGGUAAUACGUAGGUGGCAAGCGUUGUCCGGAAUUAUUGGGCGUAAAGCGCGCGCAGGUGGUUUCUUUAAGUCUGAUGUGAAAGCCCACGGCUCAACCGUGGGAGGGGUCAUUUGGAAAACUGGGGGAACUUUGAAGUGCAGAAAGAGGAAA